rnacentral:rRNA from 1 species
GACGAACGCUGGCGGCGUGCUUAACACAUGCAAGUCGAACGGAAAGGCCCUGCUUUUGUGGGGUGCUCGAGUGGCGAACGGGUGAGUAACACGUGAGUAACCUGCCCUUGACUUUGGGAUAACUUCAGGAAACUGGGGCUAAUACCGGAUAGGAGCUCCUGCUGCAUGGUGGGGGUUGGAAAGUUUCGGCGGUUGGGGAUGGACUCGCGGCUUAUCAGCUUGUUGGUGGGGUAGUGGCUUACCAAGGCUUUGACGGGUAGCCGGCCUGAGAGGGUGACCGGCCACAUUGGGACUGAGAUACGGCCCAGACUCCUACGGGAGGCAGCAGUGGGGAAUAUUGCACAAUGGGCGGAAGCCUGAUGCAGCAACGCCGCGUGCGGGAUGACGGCCUUCGGGUUGUAAACCGCUUUCGCCUGUGACGAAGCGUGAGUGACGGGAAUGGAUAAAGAAGCACCGGCUAACUACGU